UACGUAGGGCGCAAGCGUUAUCCGGAAUUAUUGGGCGUAAAGAGCUCGUAGGCGGUUUGUCGCGUCUGCCGUGAAAGUCCGGGGCUCAACUCCGGAUCUGCGGUGGGUACGGGCAGACUAGAGUGCGGUAGGGGAGACUGGAAUUCCUGGUGUAGCGGUGAAAUGCGCAGAUAUUAGGAGGAACACCGGUGGCGAAGGCGGGUCUCUGGGCCGUAACUGACGCUGAGGAGCGAAAGCAUGGGGAGCGAACAGG
rnacentral:rRNA from 1 species